AUACGUAGGGUGCGAGCGUUGUCCGGAAUUACUGGGCGUAAAGAGCUCGUAGGUGGUUUGUCGCGUCGUCUGUGAAAUUCCGGGGCUUAACUCCGGGCGUGCAGGCGAUACGGGCAUAACUUGAGUACUGUAGGGGAGACUGGAAUUCCUGGUGUAGCGGUGAAAUGCGCAGAUAUCAGGAGGAACACCGGUGGCGAAGGCGGGUCUCUGGGCAGUAACAGACGCUGAGGAGCGAAAGCAUGGGUAGCGAAAAGGAUUAGAUACCCUGGUAGUCCAUGCCGUAAACGGUGGGCGCUAGGUGUAGGGGUCUUCCACGACUUCUGUGCCGUAGCUAACGCAUUAAGCGCCCCGCCUGGGGAGUACGGCCGCAAGGCUAAAACUCAAAUGAAUUGACGGGG
rnacentral:rRNA from 1 species